CCCUUUGCGCAGUGUUAGUAUCGUCGCCGAUGAGGUUUACCCGAGGCGCGAUUAGUGCUUAUUGAAAACUUUACUCUAACACUGUCUUCAAGGAGCUGCAGCUGGAUGGACUUUACACAGAGGUAGUUGCCU